CGAUGUUGAUUAUGCUUUAGCCGCCUAAGCGGCAACAAGCAGAGUCGUCCUGACCGGUAACGGUCAGAGAGUAUCACCGGGUGAAUUGCUGGAAAACCCUGAGAGCCUUUGAUGCCACAACGAAGCCGGAAACGGCAAGCGUGACGGCGGGAAAAAUCAAAGGAUUGGGCAAUCAGCAGCCAAGCUCCUGUCCCGAAAGGGUGGAGAAGGCCCAACGACUAGGAUGUACCGUCUAAGGCCGAUGGCUACGGCGAUGAGAUCCGUAGGGGACUAUUCUUCCAACUCCGAGAUGAGUCUCCGAAGUGCCCGGCCCCGACCAGACCCGUUGAGGGUGCUGAGGGUGAAGAUAUAGUCUGGUCCUUAUGGAAACAUAGGG
rfam:Clostridium ultunense Esp genomic scaffold, CTLT_3033